rnacentral:rRNA from 1 species
AUACCAGCCCCGCGAGCGGUCGGGGUGCUUACUGGGCCUAAAGCGCCCGUAGCCGGCUCGGCAAGUCUCCUCCUAAAGCCCCGGGCUCAACCCGGGGACUGGAGGAGAUACUGCCGGGCUAGGGGGCGGGAGAGGCCGAGGGUACUCCCGGGGUAGGGGCGAAAUCCACUAAUCCCGGGAGGACCACCAGUGGCGAAGGCGCUCGGCUGGAACGCGUCCGACGGUGAGGGGCGAAAGCCGGGGGAGCGAACCGGAUUAGAAACCCCAGUAGUCC